UACACUGCACGCUAUAAGUGAGUGAGAGCCUUCCUCUCCUCCUCUCAGUCUGCAGCAAUGUGGUCUCUCCGUAGUCGCUGCCUGACACAUGAAAUGUGUUGGAGCAAGCCCUUUCAAGCAGCAGCUAUGGGACUGAAAUGAGAACCACAUGUCUUUGAAAAGAAGGCAGGUGGCUGUCACACCAGUAGUGAGCUGGUUGUAAUCAUGAAGGUCCACUGAAGGAGGGAUGUGGGCCCACUGCCCUCAGGGGGGCGAAGGGGGGUAUGAACCAGCCCCCUAACAUCCUGUUGUGCUAGCCACAGGGUGUGGAUAGUGAACACUUGUCAGUACCUACGUCUUAAACCAGGGUAUUCAGAGGAUGAACUGCCCUGGUUCGGUGACUUGAUGGAGUCUGCUUUGCAAUGGCUCUGCAUCAACCGGUGCUUCAAUGUUCACACCCAAAUUGCUAAACACUGCCAAGGGCAGUGUUUCUUGUUUUCCCCUGUAUUUAAGGACAUUCCCUGUGCUGAGAUUUGAAUCGUACAAUUUGCAAAGUUAUAAUUCUGGUAGAGAAACUGCUGUUCAAAGAAGUGCAGAAUUAUAACAAGAUCAGAAAUGCUCAGCACUGAUGUUGGCUUUGUAUCUGGUACAUAAAAUUGUUUCUCCUGGCUUA